rnacentral:rRNA from 1 species
CCUACGGGUGGCAGCAGUGGGGAAUCUUGCACAAUGGGGGAAACCCUGAUGCAGCGACGCCGCGUGAGUGAAGAAGGAAUUCGUUAUGUAAAGCUCUAUCAGCAGGGAAGAAAAUGACGGUACCUGAGUAAGCAGCCCCUGCUAACUACGUACCAGCAGCCGCGGUAAUACGUAGGGGGAAAGCGUUAUCCGGAUUGACUGGGUGAAAAGGGAGCGUAGAUGGUAGUGCAUGUCUGGAGUGAAAGGCGGUGGCUUAACCCAAGGAGUGCUCUGGAAACUGGACGGCUGGAGUGCAGGAGAGGAAAGUGGAAUUCCGAGUGUAGCGGUGGAAUGCGUAGAUAUUAGGAGGAACACCAGUGGCGAAGGCGGCUUUCUGGACUGUAACUGACGUUGAGGCUCGAAAGCGUGGGGAGCAAACAGGAUUAGAUACCCGAGUAGUC